GUCCUUUAGGUAAUUAUAAUUUAAGGUCUAACCUGCCCAUUGAUAAGUUAAAAGGCCGCAGUAAUUUGACUGUGCAAAGGUAGCAUAAUCAUUAGUUUUUUAAUUAAAAGCUUGUAUGAAUGGUUGGACGAGAUAAAAUCUGUCUCUUUAUAAAAAAUAGAAUUUAAUUUUUAAGUUAAAAAGCUUAAAUUUAUAUAAAAGACGAGAAGACCCUAUAGAUCUUUAUAAAAUUUUUUUUAAUAUUAAUAAAGAAAUUUUAAUUUACCAUAAAAAUUUUUAUUAUAUUGGGGUAAUAAAAAGAUUAAUAUAAUUCUUUUUUUUAAUAACAAUUAUUAUUGAUUAUAUGAUCCAUUAUUAAUGAUUAUAAGAUUAAGUUACCUUAGGGAUAACAGCGUAAUUUUUUUAGAGAGUUCUUAUCAAUAAAAGAGUUUGCGACCUCGAUGUU
rnacentral:rRNA from 1 species